rnacentral:rRNA from 1 species
UACGAAGGGUGCUAGCGUUGUUCGGAAUCAUUGGGCGUAAAGCGUACGUAGGCGGCUUAGUAAGUUGAUUGUGAAAGCCCCGAGCUCAACUCGGGAAUUGCAAUCGAUACUGCUUUGCUAGAGUUUGGUGGGGGAUAGUGGAAUUCCUAGUGUAGGGGUGAAAUCCGUAGAUAUUAGGAGGAAUAUCGGUGGCGAAGGCGACUAUCUAUGCCAAUACUGACGCUAAGGUACGAAAGCGUGGGGAGCAAAC